rnacentral:rRNA from 1 species
UACGGAGGGUGCGAGCGUUGUCCGGAAUCACUGGGCGUAAAGGGCGCGUAGGCGGUCUGCUAAGCGUGUGGUGAAAGCUCGGGGCUCAACCCUGAGUCGGCCAUGCGAACUGGUGGACUAGAGCACUGUAGAGGCAGGUGGAAUUCCGGGUGUAGCGGUGGAAUGCGUAGAGAUCCGGAAGAACACCGGUGGCGAAGGCGGCCUGCUGGGCAGUAGCUGACGCUGAGGCGCGACAGCGUGGGGAGCAAACAGG